CUUAGAAAGGAUGUGUUAAAAAUUGACACAAAAAAUGUGUUGUUACACUAUUAACACAUUUUGUGUGAAUUUUAGCAUAACAUGUGUAAGAAAAUGUGUAAACAUUGAAAAAAUGUGUAAAAAGCUUAACACACUUGAUGUGUUGCACAGUUUAACACAUUCUGUGUGUUAUUUUCGGAAUCUAACAACAGGACCUAAAAGCAGCGCAGUAAUUUGAUGCUAGCCCUUUGUUUAGUGAAAUAAAUUGUAGAUGAACAAUGUAUUAAAACUAUAUUAACUGAAUAAAUAAAAUGUUUAGUUAUUGUUUGUUUUACAUAAUCAUUUCCUCAUUACUUUCAACAAAUAACACAUUUUAUAAUGUAAUGUGGACCAAGGUGUGUAUGGUGUACUAAAAUUCUGAAAGAGGAUAAAUUUUUUAUUUCUCAAUGUGUAUGGCAUACCAAUUAAUGGCCAUGGCUAUACUAUAAGCAUAAGUAUCCACACAAAACAGGCUUAAUUUUGACCGUAACAUGUGAACUAGGGCAAUACAAGUGAAGUAAAAGUAGAAAAUGAAAUGAGUAAGAACACACAUGCUGAAAAGUGAAACAAAUUCUGCCCAGCAACAUGCAUACCAGCGGCGGGAAGGGGGCGCUAUGUUUUCGCGCCACUGAGACAAAGGAGACAAAGAUGGAGGUUACAUCGCCUAGUAUGUUGUCAGACCUUACAGAGCAUUAUUACGUCCAGUCUCCCAUUGUGGAUUCCUAAACUGCGCAACCUUAGACGGAAUAAGAAGCGAAAAGUGACAGAUGACUGUAGUGAAGACAAGAAGCUCAGGCAAGAGGAUGGGAAUACCAGCAGCACAGAUGAGUGGGUCACCCUGAUCAAAAGAUUGCGGCCCUCAGCUGAGAACCUUCCAGCUAUCAUGUCAGGCAUGGAGGAAACAUACACCAGUCGCAGAGCCUGGAUUAGCAAGGACUCCCCCACUGCCGCUGGAAUAUUCAGAGAGUACCCACGGUUUUUGGACAUGCCAAGUCUGGUGGACUUGGAGUUUGGCAAGCUUACAGGAGGAAAGACAGAUCUCUUUUUACGAAAAUGGGAAGCCAGUAUCAUUCCGAAGCUCAAAUCAGUAGCUGCCCUGGAAACAAGAGUGAUCUAAAGAGUGCAACCAGGCAGUACAUCAUUGUUGCUAAGAAUGACAGAGUAACCAUUUCUCUGAAUGAAGCCCAGACGUGUGUUGUGGAUAAACUUUUCAAACUGUACUGGGUAUGUAACUUGUCCUAUCCAGCACCGGUUGUCUUCACCUUCUUUGAGUUUGUCUAUGACCUGCCGCUGUCCACCCAAAGGAAAACCAAAGUACUGGAGCUGAUUGCACAGAUUAAAGCAUGCAAGUACAAAAUGUUCACCUGUCCAAAAUGUAGAGAGUCUCUGUUCACAAAGGUGAGAAACCUCAUUUGGCAUCUUUGUCAAAUACACUGCUUAUCAGGACUCUGACCAUUUUUAUGCCUAUGCAGUGGAAAGGUCAGACAAUAUGAACUGAUUGGGUGAAAUCUUUGAUUUUUGGCCUUUAUAUAUAGUGACAAGCUUUGAUGCUAAUAAGCUGUAUUUUUAUAUUAUAUAUUUAUAUUAGCUGUACAAAAUUGUAUAACCUGGAUGCUAUAAUCGCCAAAAUGUAUGUUUUUCUGUUUGCAUGCAACUGCACAUUUGUUGAAUGUUGACAAUUUGUUGAAGAUGACAAUUGUUGCCUUUAAAAAAAUUUAAUUCAUGUAUUGUCUGGACAUGAUUAUAUUAUAUAUAUAUAUGUAUAAUAUAUUUUGCCCUUUUUUCAAUUUUUUGACAUUUUAAUGAUCUAGAGAGAUAGAAAGUUAGUCAGAUAUGAAUUUUGUUUGAUUUUGUCAAGUAAAAAUUGUGAUAUAGCUUUGGCUAAAAUUGAAUUUAAAACUUUUUAAUUGAAAAUAUUCUGACAGUUGUUGUUUAUUCAGUUUGUAAUGAUUUAUAAUAUGCUAAAUAAAAAAUGGAAUUCAAUAAAUAUCAUAUAUACCUA